GUGAGGAAUUUUCCGCAAUGGGCGAAAGCCUGACGGAGCAAUGCCGCGUGAAGGAUGAAGGCCUAUGGGUUGUAAACUUCUUUUCUCAGAAAAGAAUUAUGACGGUAUCUGAGGAAUAAGCAUCGGCUAACUCUGUGCCAGUAGCCGCGGUAAGACAGAGGAUGCAAGCGUUAUCCGGAAUGAUUGGGCGUAAAGCGUCUGUAGGUUGUUUAAAAAGUAUUCUGUCAAAGAUUAGGGCUUAACCCUAGAUAGGCAGAAUAAACUUUUAAGCUAGAGUUUGGUAGAGGCAGAGGGAAUUCCCGGUGGAGCGGUGAAAUGCGUAGAUAUCGGGAGGAACACCAAAGGCGAAGGCACUCUGCUGGGCCAAUACUAACACUGAGAGACGAAAGCGAGGGGAGCAAAUGGGAUUAGAAACCCGGGUAGUCC
rnacentral:rRNA from 1 species